rnacentral:rRNA from 1 species
UACGUAGGUGGCGAGCGUUAUCCGGAUUCAUUGGGCGUAAAGAGCUUGUAGGUGGCGGCGUAAGUUGGACGUGAAAUCGCCCGGCUCAACCGGGCGGGGUCGUUCAAUACUGCGCGGCUGGAGGAGGUCAGAGGGAAGUGGAAUUCCUGGUGUAGCAGUGAAAUGCGUAGAUAUCAGGAGGAACACCCGUGGCGAAGGCGGCUUCCUGGGGCCAUCCUGACACUGAGAGGCGAAAGCUAGGGGAGCGAACGGG